GAUCAUGGCUCAGGAUGAACGCUGGCGGCGUGCUUAACACAUGCAAGUCGAACGAAGCAUUUAAGACAGAUUUUUUCGGAAUGAAGUUUUUUAUGACUGAGUGGCGGACGGGUGAGUAACGCGUGGGUAACCUGCCUCACACAGGGGGAUAGCAGUUGGAAACGACUGGUAAUACCGCAUAAGCGCACAGCUUCGCAUGAAGCGGUGUGAAAAACUCCGGUGGUGUGAGAUGGACCCGCGU
rnacentral:rRNA from 1 species